rnacentral:misc_RNA from 1 species
GAUGAAGAACGUAGCGAAAUGCGAUACGUAGUGUGAAUUGCAGAAUUCAGUGAAUCAUCGAAUCUUUGAACGCACAUUGCACCUCUCGGUAUUCCGGGAGGUAUGCCUGUUCGAGCGUCAUUUGUACACUCAAGCUCUGCUUGGUGUUGGGUGUUUGUUCCGCCUCUGUGUGUGAACUCGCCUCAAAACAAUUGGCAGCCGGCGUACUUGUUUCGGAGCGCAGCACAUUUUGCGAUCCAGAUCAACGUACAGCGGCAUCCAAGAAGCCUUAUUUAACGCUCUUGACCUCGGAUCAGGUAGGGAUACCCGCUGAACUUAAGCAUAUCAAUAAGCGGAGGA